UGGGGAAUAUUGGACAAUGGGGGGAACCCUGAUCCAGCCAUGCCGCGUGUGUGAAGAAGGCCUUAUGGUUGUAAAGCACUUUAAGCGAGGAGGAGGGUACUGGUAUUAAUACUACCAGGUACUGGACGUUACUCGCAGAAUAAGCACCGGCUAACUCUGUGCCAGCAGCCGCGGUAAUACAGAGGGUGCGAGCGUUAAUCGGAUUUACUGGGCGUAAAGCGUGCGUAGGCGGCUAAUUGAGUCGGAUGUGAAAGCCCCGGGCUCAACCUGGGAACUGCAUCCAAAACUGGCGAGCUAGAGUAGGGCAGAGGAUGGUAGAAUUCCAGGUGUAGCGGUGAAAUGCGUAGAGAUCUGGAGGAAUACCGAUGGCGAAGGCAGCCAUCUGGCCUAACACUGACGCUGAGGUACGAAAGCAUGGGGAGCAAACAGG
rnacentral:rRNA from 1 species